rnacentral:lncRNA from 1 species
AAUGGAAAUAACUUUUAUGUGCCUUAAAUCAUAAAGGUAAUGAUUUAUCAUAAAAACUGAAACACCAAAGGCAUACAGAAGGCUACACAACAUGAUGUUAGACUGUUAAUGGGUUAAGGAAGCAUCAUUAAGAAGCCAGGGAAAUAACCAUAAUUCUUCAGAAGUCUGGAAAAACGUUAACUUCUAAUAUAUGUGGGAGUGAAGGAAAAUUAGAGUAUAGGAAGAGAAGAGGAUAGAAAAUUGAGUAAAUUCUAUUCAUCGACAUGCAAACUUUAUCAUUCAUUAGAAAAUAUCUACUACAUAUGGCUGUUAAAAGAAUUAAUUGAAAUAGCACAUGUAAAGUUCUCACAACAUGAUAGGCACUAAGUAAACAGUGGUUCUCUUUCUCUCACCUUUGUUUUUUCACUACCAGGAAACUUACUCUAUACCCAGGCUUCCUGAGUAAAUUUUAAGCUGAACUCCCAAAUCUUACAUUAAAAAAAAGUUUAGGAUAAUAAAUAUAUGAAAAAAUUCUCGGCAUAAUUAUUCAUCGGAAAAAUGCAAAUGACAAUGAGAUAUCAGUAACAGCCAGCAGAAUGGCUAAAAUUAAGAAUAUGAAGAACUGAGGAAGAAGAAAACCCUCUGUAACUGGUGGGACUGUUAAUUGGCACAGUGACUUUAGAAAAACUUUUGGCAGCACUUAGUAAAUCUAUAUACACUUUCAUACACACAACGUGAAUGCUUUUGUCCUCCAAAGGAUAUAUAAAAUAGUAUUCAGAUAAUAGCCACCCUCUGGAAAAGAUUAUCCAGCAACAGUAAAAUAUGUCAAUUGUGGUAUAUAACUGCAAUAGAAACCUACACAUGGAUAAAAAAGGAUGAACUAGUGAUACGCACAAUAAUAUAGAUGAAUCUCACAGAUGUAAUGCUGAGUAAAAAGAAGUCAGGUGCAAAAACCUACAUGUCAUCUCUUUCAUUUAUAUGAAAUUCAAAAAGGGGUAAAACAGAAUAAUGGCUCCCCUGGGGGUAAGCACUGACUGCAAGGUGAAUGCCUUCUAUCGCGCUAGAAAUGUGCUAGACCUUCUUAUGUGUGGUGCUGAAAGAAGUUUACACAAUAUAUAAAAAUUCAUUAUGGGCUUCAUUUAAGCUCUGUGCAACUUAACAUACACAAUAUAACUCAACAGAAUUAAGGGGGUAAUGUCAGUGUUUCUGACAUUUCUUUGUAUCAGCAAUUCUCAGUAUUAACAUUGUAUUUGAUCAGUUUUUUUAAUUGCUUGCUCUAUGUUCAGCAACUUUUUCGUUCUUAAAAGUUUUAGUACAUAAAAUGUUAUUUUCAAGAGAAAUCUAGUACCCUUCUUACAAAGCAUACUUUUAAGAGGUGAUUUUUCCCCCAAAGGCCAAACAAAUAAGAGUGAGUCUAUUCAUAGCUCUAAGAGCCAGAGUGGCUGAAACUUAAAUUAAGCCAGUGAGUUUUUCCUACCAACGCUUCACUUGGACCACUAAUAACCAAGUCAGACAGCACCACAGCAACAAGUAUGCAGUGGAACCAGAGUGGAGAUUAAUAAGAGUUUUCCCUUUUCUAUGGAAUGAUGUGAAAGCUUUUUUUAUUGUUAACUUUUUUUGUAUUUUUGGAGCCACACCUGUGGCAUAUGGAAGUUCCCCAGCUAGGGGUCGAAUCAGAGCUACAGCGGCCGGGCUACACCAUAGGAAUGCCAGAUCCAAGCUGAGUCUUCGACCUACACCGCAGCUCAGGGCAAUGCCAGACCCUUAACCUACUGAGUGGGACCAGGGAUCAAAUCCGUGCCCUCAAGGAAACUAGUCAGGUUCAUUAUCACUGAGCCACAACGGGAAUUCCUGAAAGCAUUUUUUCCCCCCUCAAUUCUCACUUUUCACUUUGAAGUAACUUUUUAAAAGCAAUAUUAGGUUUGUAACAAAAGCAAAGGUACGGAGAUUUCCUAUACGCCCGCCUCCACCCAUAUAGCCACAUCCAUAAUCAACAUCACCCAACUUAGUUAUAAAAUGUCACAAUUCAUUAACUUACAAUGACACCUCAUAAUUACCCCAAAUCCAUAGUUUGCAUCACAGUUCAUUCUUGUUAUACAUUCUAUGAGUUUAGACAAAUUAUGAUGACAUAUAUCCAUCAUUAUACUAUUAUACAGAGUAUUUCCUCUGCCCUAAAAAUCCUCCAUGUUCUGCUAAUUCAUCUCUUACUCCUCCCCACUCACUGUCUCUGGCAAACACCAGUCUUUUUAUUUAUCUCCAUAGUUUUUCCUUUUCCAGAAUGUCAACUUUUUCAGAGUUAGAAUCAUAGAGUGGGUAGCCUAUUCAGAUUGUAUGUUUAGCUUUGUAAGAAACAGCCAAACUAUUCUCUAAAGUAGCUGUACCAUUGUGCAUUCCCAACAAAAAUGCAUAAGAGUUCCUGCUGCUCCGCUAAAUGAUUCUUAAUGAGGGAAGGGGGAUUUUAUAUGCAUUUUAUGCCUUCUUAAGUAACCUGAGUCUCUUUUCAAGAAUAUAUUGUGCCUUCCUUCUCUUGCUUUUCUAAUCAUUGAGCCAUGAACUUCACUAGUAUUGAUCACAAUUUGUGGACUGUGUUUAUUUUUACCCUGUUAGAUGCAAUCAUUUCAUGUUCCUCCCUCUACCUCUAAGGUGGUUAGAUGAUUUUAAAGAGAGGAUAAUCUCACUUUUGUAAAAAAAAAAUUAAGAAAAAUGCUAAUGUAAAUAAAAAGGAAAUAACUCAAGAAUAAAGUAUUAAGGAAGGCUACCUGUUUCCCUGAUGUUUAUAGCGCUAAUGCCUUGGUCUUGAACAUUAACUCAGCAGGGGCCUUUUCUGCAGAUAGCACACGCUGUUAUUCCUCACAACAAAUACUAGACAUCCAGGAGGAAAGAAAGAAUACAGCCUAACUUAAAAAAAUAGAGAGAGAGCACACAAAAAAACAAAGGUCAAUAGUACUUGGAAUUAAAAAGAGCUGUUAGUUUUAUUUUUGAAGCAUAAUCUCAGGAUCCUGGUAAAAUAUGACCAUGAGCAUCUCACAGAGCAGCUGGCCAAGGAACUAGUACCUCUCCUGUCCAGACUCUUUCAUUCAGAUCUGUGUUUCUGGCUAAUGCAAGGUCAGAUGUCAUGACUCCAUUUUCUCAAAUCUUUGAACCAUAAACAGCUUUAGCCUUGGCUGGUUGGAAGAUGCCUGAACGUUUUGAAGCAUGAGAACAAACGGUCAUUUAGGUUUCAAAGUUAGCUCAGACCCUUCCUCUUCUUAUUUUUUGCUUUGUUUUGUUUUAACUGGUCUGCCAAACACAUUAGUCCACUCGGUCCUUCAGGUUGAACUGUGUGACCUGUGACCUCACUCCACUUUAAAAGAGACCACUCUCUUGGGAGACAAGUCCAGAUCUGCCCACAGCUUGCCACCUAAAUACUCUGGCCUCCUUCUCCCUCUGUGCCUACCGCCUUUCACGUGCAAGUUACACAAGCCAGAGAAAUCUCCAACCUCCAUCAAGGGCACAGCUCCAAUUUAAGAGUAAUGGCUGGAGUAGGUGUUAUUUGUACCCCGUGUCAAGCAGUGAUUGUUCACAUCUGGCUGCAAGCUGAAUAGGGCUUUAGAUUAUUCCAAGCAGUUCAGAAAAACUGUGGUGAGGGGGUCCGGGGGGGUGGGGAAGGUGGUUCUGACUUAUCUUGUGGUUUUCAGGCAAGUCAUAAAGUCACCCUAUUAAUAAAGAAACAUAAUCAAAUAUGUUCUCUUUAAUAAUAAGUGAUCACAUGGACAAAGACCCGUGCAUUCCAAGGCUGCAAAUUCAAAAGAAUUAGCCUGUUAAAGUAUCAAAGUAGAAUAGGCAUUCUUGCCUGUGAGCAUUUCUGAGAAUGGUACUGAUUAUGAUUCAACAAAGAGGAUGCUAUACACACACACACACAUACAUACAUACAAACACACAUGUGCACUUUCAUAUUAAUUUUGGCUAUGGUUUCACAUCUAAUAUCUUCAUACCAGGGAAGCAAUCAUAUUAACAAAAUCUUAGUUCUACACUCUUCUUUUUCCUUUUCCUCUUCCUUGACCAUUCUGUAAAAUGUAAACAAAGAAUACAUGUUUGGGGGCUCCAAUUCUUAUACCUGAGGAUUAGCAUGAAGCUGAAAAGAAAAGCGUUGUGAAUACUGAUAGAGACUGAGACAUCCUGGCUACUGCUUUUUCUUUAAAGAAAUCUCCUGGGGUGAAAAGCACACACAACAUCAGAUGCUAUUCAAAUAUUUCAUCUCAUGCACUGCCGUAGAGCUGCAUAAAAAUGUAUGGAGAGUGCAUACCAUUUUUUUGUGAUAGAAAAAUAGAAAUGUAGGUAAUAAUUAGAAAAAAAAAACCCAAAAAUCCACUUUGUGGGAGGUUAGACACACUUGAGAAAUUAAAAUAAUAAAUAAAAUAGGAUUUAAAACUAAGAAAACAAUUUAUUCUGUAAUGAAUAUGAAGAUCCUCGGGUUUUUGUUUUUUUUUCUUUUGCAAUGUUUCUUGCUAUCUCUUCCAAUACUAAUUUGCAAAACUGAGUUAGUCCCAGAGCAAAAGAUAGUAAAAUCUAAAAAUAGUAUGAAUUGCCCUGUCAUUUUUUAAAUAUCAUACAAUGAGAUAAUGUAAAUUAAUUGAAUAAGGAGAUGAUUAAAUGUCUUUUUUUAAAAAAAUUACACAUUGAACAUCUAUGAAACAAUGCAAAAAGGAUUGUUUUUAAACUAUCAUCUUGACAGUUGCCCUUUAAUUCAUUUUUAGGUAGGCCCUUGCAUAAUACAUAAGAAAACAGGAGAACAAAAGAUGUAAAUGGUGGUAUUCUGAUGUACAGAUUGCUUUGGGCAUUUGUCUUCAGCCCUCAGCUAAAAUAUAUAAGAUUUGGUUAGGAUAAGCAUGCCUUUUACUUCUUUUAUUUUAUGAUGUUUUAUGCGAAAUAAGCACCAAGAAUAAGAAUUUUGCAGAAACACACACAUUCCUGAAAUAGAAAUUAUUUCUACCUUCAGAGGGGAAUAAUUUCUAUUCUAGAGGGUAAUUCACGGCAGUUUGGUGAAAUUCACUCUGUUCUCUGGUACUGAAAAGAGUGAUUCCCAUCAAAACAAUUAAUGUUCAAGAUGACAAAUAAAAUAGUCUUUCUUCUCCAGGGUACUUUUUAAAUACUUAGUCCACCCCUAGGCAAUUAGCAUCAAUGGUUAUAUGGUAAUCUUCCUUUCUCGCCUUCUGUACAUGUUACAGGAGGCAAAUGAGGGUUUUGCAAGCUUGAUGUUAGACUUGUGACUCCAGGUAAUAUGGACUAAGAAUUGCGCUUUGUGACCUGUUCCACUGGAGCAUCACAAUGGGUCAUACCUUAUUGUACUUAGACUUGGUGCAGUGCCCUCUCCUUAAAUCAAGG